rnacentral:rRNA from 1 species
UACAUGGGGUGCAAACGUUGCUCGGAAUUAGUGGGCGUAAAGCGCACGUAGGCGGUUCGUUAAGUCAGAUGUGAAAGCCCCCGGCUCAACCGGGGAAGUGCAUCUGAAACUGGCGAGCUAGAGUACGAAAGAGGGUCGCGGAAUUCCCGGUGUAGAGGUGAAAUUCGUAGAUAUCGGGAGGAACACCGGUGGCGAAGGCGGCGACCUGGGUCGAUACUGACGCUGAGGUGCGAAAGCGUGGGGAGCAAACAGG